rnacentral:misc_RNA from 1 species
GAUGAAGAACGCAGCGAAAUGCGAUAAGUAAUGUGAAUUGCAGAAUUCAGUGAAUCAUCGAAUCUUUGAACGCACAUUGCGCCCCCCAGUAUUCUGGCGGGCAUGCCUGUUCGAGCGUCAUUUCAACCAUCAAGCCCUGCUUGUGUUGGGGUCCUGCGGCUGCCCGCAGACCCUGAAAACCAGUGGCGGGCUCGCUAGUCACACCGAGCGCAGUAGCACAUCUCGCUCAGGGCGUGCGGCGGGCUCCAGCCGUUAAAGCACCCACCUUUCGCAAGGUUGACCUCGGAUCAGGUAGGAAUACCCGCUGAACUUAAGCAUAUCAAUAAGCGGAGGA